rnacentral:rRNA from 1 species
UACGGAGGAUCCGAGCGUUAUCCGGAUUUAUUGGGUUUAAAGGGUGCGCAGGCGGGAGAUUAAGUCGGCGGUGAAAUUUUGCAGCUCAACUGUAAAAGUGCCUUCGAAACUGGUUUCCUUGAGUGUGGAUGAAGUAGGCGGAAUUUGUGGUGUAGCGGUGAAAUGCAUGGAUAUCACGAGGAACUCCGAUUGCGCAGGCAGCUUACUAAACCAUAACUGACGCUCAGGCACGAAGGCGUGGGGAUCAAACAGGAUUAGAUACCCCCCGUAGUCCCU